ACACUUACCUGGCAUGGGGAGGUACUGUGAUUAUGAAGGUGGUUUUCCCAGGCUGAGGCUUACCCACUGCACACUGGAUGUGCUAUCCUCUGUGAUUAAAGGAAAUGUGGGACACUCAGUUGCCUAGUUUGUAGUGGCAGGGGGCUGCAUUUGUCCUUGCCCUGG
ensembl:snRNA U1 U1 spliceosomal RNA